rnacentral:rRNA from 1 species
CCUACGGGAGGCAGCAGUUAGGAAUAUUGGACAAUGGGGGCAACCCUGAUCCAGCCAUGCCGCGUGUGUGAAGAAGGCCUUAGGGUUGUAAAGCACUUUCAGCUGUGAAGAUAAUGACAGUAGCAGAAGAAGAAGCUCCGGCUAAAUUCGUGCCAGCAGCCGCGGUAAUACGAAUGGAGCGAGCGUUGUUCGGAAUCACUGGGCGUAAAGGGUGCGCAGGCGGUCAUGAAAGUUAGAAGUGAAAUCCCAGGGCUUAACCCUGGAAUGGCUUUUAAAACUCCAUGACUAGAGUACUGGAGAGGUUGGCGGAAUUCCGAGUGUAGAGGUGAAAUUCGCAGAUAUUCGGAGGAACACCAAUGGCGUAGGCAGCCAACUGGACAGUAACUGACGCUCAUGCACGAAAGCGUGGGGAUCAAACAGGAUUAGAUACCCUGGUAGUCCACGCCCUAAACGAUGUGUGCUAGUUGUCGGGUUCUUAGAACUCGGUGACGCAGCUAACGCUUUAAGCACACCGCCUGGGGGAGGUACGGUCGCAGAUAAACUACAANAGAGUAGACGCGNGAGACGNGCGACGACGACACGAGGGAGGAGG